UGACUGAUGAAGGAAUGCUGCCAUCAAAGGCUUGACUUUUGUGGUGGAGCAGGACCUGCAAGGAAAGGUGACGGCGGGAUUUGUGGAAAAAAGGGAAAACCUGAAACAAAAAUAUAAAAGUCGCCGAGAUCCAGGACAUUACAGACCAGCACACAUGGCGUUAUGUUCCAUCAAUUCAUAACCCAGCAGAUGAUAUAUCACGGGGGAAAAGCCUAUGUAGGCUGGGACCAGAUAGCCAUUGGUACCAAGGGCCAUCCUUUCUCAAAGAUCCUCCAAAUCUGUGGCCGGAAAAAUCCAACACCCUGUGGCUGCAGAUGAAGACGAGCUUUGUAAAACAGUUCCCUGCCUCCUUACCUGCUUCACAGCCACCUUGUCAUACCCUGACAUCAGCCAGUAUAAGACUUUUAAAGAGCUACAGGAGUCCAGGGCCUGUCAUGGGGCGGCAGGCAUUCCGACAGCUGAUGACUACAAGACGGCUGAAAUCAGUGUUCUACAGCAAGCUCAGGAAGAGUGUUUCCCUUCUGAACUAGAGCAGUUAAAGGCGGGUCAAUCAUUUCCCAGAAACAGUCGGCUAAAGACACUGGCCCAUGAACUUGACAACGAGACUCAGCUGAUCAGAGUAGGAGG